rnacentral:misc_RNA from 1 species
UGUUAUUCUUCAGUUGUAACAGUUGUGAUGUUAAUAUUGUUACUGUUGAAUGCCACAUCAGCAAAGUCCUUUGCAUCUACUACAUCCAAAGAAGCGGAAGUUCAAUGUGCAGAAAACGGAAGAUUUUAUCGGAAAGAGGAAGUUGGCGAUGAUGCAUUCGAAUGCUCCAAAUAUUUCCUGUGUUUGGACGGGGAGGAAUUUGAGUUCCGGUGCUCGCAAGGAUUGCUGUUCGACAUUCAUCGCCAAACGUGUGAACCAGAAAAACAAGUUAAUAACUGUAACGUCACAGUUAAAGCAGAAUUCCAUUUUUCAUCGUCAGAGGUGCCACGGAAAGUAUUAGAAUUAUCAGCAACAAAAAUAAAUUAUCGUGCACAAGUACCACGCACCGCUUCAGAACCUUUUGAAAAUUGUAAAAACGACGAGAUAGAAUGCGACAGUGGCGAAUGUGUGUUAAUUGACUACGUGUGUGAUGGAUAUCCGGACUGUGCUGAUGGUGAUGAUGAAGAGUCGUGUGAUCCUGAAAAUAAUCCUAACCUUGCAACACCAUGCGAUACAACUAUGUGCCGACUACCGGAUUGUUAUUGUUCAAAAGAUGGAACAUCAAUUCCAGGCCAUAUGAAUUCAGAUAAUAUUCCUCAAAUGAUAACGCUGACAUUCGAUGAUGCAAUUACAUUCGAUAACAUUGAAAUAAUCUCUAAAAUCUUCAAAUCUCACAGAAGGAAUCCAAAUGCUUGUCCAAUCAAAGCUACGUUCUUUGUUAGUCAUUACAACAAUAAUUACUUUUUGACACAGAAAGUGUGGAACAACGGUCAUGAGAUGGCGAUACAUUCUAUUACUCAUCGUAGUGCUAAAGAAUGGUGGUUAUACAAUGCCACCGUUGAAGACUGGUUUGAUGAAAUGGUUGGACAAGCCAACAUCAUGCACAAAUAUUCAAAAAUUCAUAUGGCCGACAUCAGGGGAUUGCGAGCGCCUUUUCUUAAUCUCGGAUGGAACCGGCAGUUUCUCAUGAUGAAAGAAUUCGGAUUUAUUUAUGACAGUUCUGUAAUCGCACCUUCAUCAAGCAAACCACUGUGGCCUUAUACUCUAGAUUUUGCCAUUCCACACACGUGUAAAGAUAACGACGGAAAUUGUCCUACAAACGCAUUUCCGGGAAUUUGGGAGCUUGUUAUCAAUCCAUUCCAAGUCGGUCAAAGUUCUUGUUCUCUGCCAUAUGCAUGUCCCUAUUUUACAACUGCAGAUGAAUUUUAUACAGCAUUAGUUUAUAAUUUCAAAAAACAUUACACAACUAACAGGGCACCAUUUCGGAUUUCUCUGCAAGCAUCAUGGGUUAAAAAGCAUGGGGUUGUGCAGGUUAUUGAGAGAUUUAUAGAUGAAGUUCUACGUCUACCAAAUGUGUGGUUUGUUACGAAUUGGCAACUAAUUGAAUGGAUGAAGCAACCAACACCAAUAGAAAAGCUUCACAGUUUUAAACAAUGGCAAUGCCAAAGGAAGGUUACUUCUUUAGACAAAGCAUGCGAUCAACCAAUUGCUUGCAAACUGUACAGCAAUUUUUUUAACAAACAAAAGUACUUAUAUACCUGUCAGGAGUGCCCUAAAGUAUACCCUUGGUUCAGAAACGAAUUUGGAAUUGACUAGAUCAAUCAUUCCAGAAUGUAGGAGUAUGUACAUACUUGAAGGAAGUGAUGCAAUUCAUCUUGUACUUCUUUUAUUCUUGUCUUAUUCACGUUGAAACAUCUUGCAGUUUAUUAAGGAAUUUUAACAAAACUCGACUGUGGGAACUUGGACGUUGAUUGCAAUUUCGUUCCAAAUGUUCCAUUGCCUUUUUGCCCGCUG